rnacentral:tRNA from 1 species
UCUCUGGGAGUCCAGUGGUUAAGACUCUGCAUUGCCAAUUCAGGGUAUGUAGGUUCAAUCCCUGGUCAGGGAA